rnacentral:rRNA from 1 species
UACGUAGGGCGCAAGCGUUAUCCGGAAUUAUUGGGCGUAAAGAGCUCGUAGGCGGUUUGUCGCGUCUGCCGUGAAAGUCCGGGGCUCAACUCCGGAUCUGCGGUGGGUACGGGCAGACUAGAGUGAUGUAGGGGAGACUGGAAUUCCUGGUGUAGCGGUGAAAUGCGCAGAUAUCAGGAGGAACACCGAUGGCGAAGGCAGGUCUCUGGGCAUUAACUGACGCUGAGGAGCGAAAGCAUGGGGAGCAAACGGG